rnacentral:lncRNA from 1 species
UAAAUAAAUUUAAAAAACUCCUUUAAGUUGGAAUAGAUCUAAACCAUAGAUUAUCAAUAUCCAAUAACAAUCGUUAUCCUAACAUAAAACAAAAGCCUCUCUCAAUUAGGACAAGAAACCAGAUGGAGCCGACUGCACAUCUCUCUCUCUCUCUCUCGUCCCAUUUCAUCUAAUCUCAUGUUUCCUCUUCCUCUCCUCUUUCUUUAAGCCUCGAUUCUAUUUUUUACCAUGCUCUCGGUAAUGGGUAGGCGCGGAGCAAGAACCAAAGUGCAGAAGCAGCAGAACCUGUGGCGAGUCGCGAUGGUCGACGAGCUGAGUGUCAACUGUCGAGUCGUGGGUGCCAAUUAUUGGGGGUGAUGGAGACGGACUGAUGGUGUCACGGACCUCAUGGUGAGUCGCCGAGUCGAUAAGCGCCUUUUAAUUUUCGGCCCUGUUUAGUUUUUCUGUUCGGCGUUAGCCCUGUUUUUGUUUUUCUUUUUUUUUUUUUUAAAUUAUUGUUUUUGUUCUGUGUUGAGUGUUGACAGAAGGAAUGGAUUAUGGUGGAUAUACACUAUUUAUUCCAAAAAAGGAUUGUGGUAAAAGAAACUUUAUUGUUAAAAUAAUUAAUUCAUGUAAAGUUGGCGGAAUCAAUUGCGUUUGGAUUCUGAACAUAUGAAUAGAUUUAUCCCAAUUUUACAUGAAUUAUAUAAAUUUCGUGCAUUUCCCACAUAGUUUUUGUUGAGGAAUCACAUUACAACACUGAAUUACAAAUAAUAUUAGAUUUUCUUGUUGAAACGGAAUAGGUUUUAUUGAACUUAAUUGUUGCCGUUUGACUUAUUGAUGAUCAAUUUUCAUUAUCUUAUCUAAUUGUACUCAUCAAAUGAAUUAAAGGCUUGGGAGGAUUGGCUUAGUAAUGAGUAAGUUCUGCGUUUUUCGAAUUCUGUAAUUAUACAUUGUAGUCUCUUUUCAUUCCCUUUUCUCUUCUUCCAGUAUAAGAGCCAAGGUUAAAAUAAGAAAAAGGUCACCUUUUAGAUCUGCAUCUUAUGCUCUAUAACCAAUCAUAAGCAACGGUUCUAUUUUAGCUCAUUUCUUAUUGAAAGAGAAAUUGCAGAAUUAGGAAUAUUCGAAUGCAUUUGAUAAAUAGUGGGUUCUAUCGCAGUUGUGCUAAAUGCACCAGGUGAACAUAUAUACUUUAAUAGAUGCUUUGUGACACCUGGAGAAUGUGAUACCGUUUCCUAAUAUUUUUCUCUUUUCUUGGUUUAUUUUUUUCUUUUGUAUACAGCCUUAGCAGUGGUAGUGAUAUUGGUACUAGUUUUGUACUGUCAAAUAUAAUGGUUACAUUGGCGUUUGUUCUAUAAUUGGAUCCUAGACAGUAAGUAAAGGUAUUUUUUGUGGUAAUUCUAUAGAAAGCUAUUCAUGUACCAAAAGUCAUGUCUUCUUGGCCAAGGGAUAAAAAUAGCUUGUUACGUUAUCAAAUAGAAAAAUAGACUUCGUUGUUUGGAAAGUGUUGGUUCAGGCAAAAACAAAGAAGGAACCUCUAUCUUAGGGUUAAAUUGUCUAUCUAGAUUUAUUAGUAAGGCCAUAAAAAGGAGAAGUAGUUGCAAUAGGGAACCUCUCAUAGUUGUCAAUAUGAUUUCGUGCAUUUCCCACGUACAUGAAUUAAAAUGAUGGCAACGACUUUUAUAAUUUUCGUGACAGCUAAGAUAUGUUGUAGAGAACAAGACACGUCCACAUUAGGAGUUAUGCCUCCAUUAGGUUUAGAUAGAAAUCGAAUUUUCAGUAGAUUUUGAUAGAAGUUGAUAGAAUAUAAGGUUGAAAAGUUGUAGGUCCAUAAUAUGUGAUUAUGUGGUAGCUAGAAAGAAUAUAUUCCCGAGAAAGAAUUAACCGGAAGUAGUGUACUCUAUCUACACAGACAAAGUAUCUCCAAUAAUUUGACUCUAAAGAAUGCACUCUUGAGAUGUAAUAUAUGAUAACGUUUGAUAUGAGUUAUAUGGAUAAUUGAAAGUGGGCAGUUUGGUCCCUGUCCUUCCUACUUGAUUCUAGCAUAUAUUUAUUGACACCACAUACAUAAUCUCUUGGUUAAAUUUACCGAAGUUCCAUCUAGGUCAGAAGGCUUUUAACAUAAGUUCCAGAAAUGGCAAUUCUGAGAUUUUUGUGUGUGUUCAUGCUCUUAUGGUAGCUUGGACGAUAGUGCAAUCUUCUGGUUGUUGAUUAUGGAGUUAUGAUAUAAGUCAACUUCUCCUAAACAUUUCAGGUGAUACCUUUUUCACAAUGGAUUGAAGAAAUAAAGACUCCAAAUGCUAUUUUGGCGAAGCACCAAGUAUCUUCAAGGUGGGAGGCUCUUUCCUAUAUGAAAGAUGCAGGCUAAAAAGAAAGUAAUGGGAAGGAUUUUUGAGAGCUAGCCAACCCAACGGUUUGAAGACAGCAAGUUGUAAAUUAUCUUAUUUUAUACAAUGAUUUUCUAUUUUUUAAGAGGAGUGUAAGAUAAUGUUUAUUUGAUGGGCAAUAUGUAAAUAAAAAUUUUUCUUCGAUUUAUUACAACAAUGUGUUUUGUCUAUUUGGUAUGGAUUAAUAAAAUUAUAUCAAAGUCAUGUUGGCCCAAGA